UUCAUCCAUCAGAAAAUGAAACAUUAUUAUCCCCCAGGACGCUCUCUGGUGCCCCUUUCCAGUCCACCCCUACCCCAACCACGACUCUGAAUCUUUUUCCUGUUGGUUGGUCUUCUGCAUUCUAGAACCUCACAAAACUGUAACUAUGUAUGUGCACUCUUUUUGUAAGCUUCUGUUGCUCAGCAUGAUGUUUUUGAGACUCACUCAUGUUUUUCCAUAUAUCAGUACUUUAUGCCUUUUAUUGCUAAGUAGCAUCCCAAGAUCUUGCUACUCCAAGCCUCUGACGUUCCGUUGAGCAUCCGGGAGCCAAGACUCCUUGUGUGUGGUCAUGCCCCAAGCCCUGGAGAGAGAGGGCAACGUGUGGUGAUGCAGAAACAGACAAGGAGAAGGAAACAGAGAGGAAGAAGGAUCCAGUUAGCACCUGUUUCCAUCCUGAGCCUCAGAGCAAAGAUUUCAGAAAGUGCCCUCCCCCACUCCCCUUCCCUAUCAUCUUAAGAGAUACACUCAGGGCAUUUCCUCACUCUUCAACUAAAGAUAAAGCAAAACCUCUUCACAUUUAACAAAGAAUUUCUGUGAAAUGAAAAUAAAAGCCUUUCAUUCAGCGAU